CAUGAGUUUUCUUUCCUUUUUCAUUCAGUCAUGUUCCGUGUCUCCCUUUAUGCACAUAUACACUAGAUUUACACAUAUUCAUAUAAAUACACACACGCACGCUCUACCUCACUCUAAUAUACACAUCGUCACCUGUGCAAGACCUCCGUACAUGCACUAACAAUUAGUAUAUGUACCUCAUCUAUGUACAGUGGGAACUAAUCUCAUCGAAGUCAGUGUGCAAUGCAGUUCCAUAACAGGUCGUGUCCAAAACCAACGGAUGGUGAAACACUACAACACGCAUUGACCAGUGUGGAUUUCAAAAUUAUGUAGUUGAAGAAAUCAUGGACUAAACAACCUCACAUUUUUGGCUUUGGCCCCUAUAGCCCCCUUUCCCGCAAUGCCUAUUCCUAAAGUUAUCACUUUAUUCUAGGUUAGGCAUUGCAGAGCUAAAACUCCCAUGAUACUUUGCCAACCUUAGAAGAAAUAAAACAAUGCGAUUGGCAAUUCCACAACACCUGGAGAUUUACCUUUUCAACACAUCUGUUCUAGAUAGUGAAAAAAAUUUCAAAAACUUGGGUCAGCUUAGUCUCAUCUUAGAGGAACACUCCAGACACAUAAAGCACUUUAGCUUGCUACAGAGCUUCAUGUGUCUGGAGUUUGUCAUAUUAAAAAGUGCAGAUUUCAAUAGAUCUUUA